UAUUGUAAAUUCAGGCUGUAACACAACAAAAUGUGGAAAAAGUCAAGGGGUGUGAAUGCUUUCUGAAGGCACUAACCUUUCCACACAAAUAUAGAUCUAAUAUAAUUGGGUAUCAGAUUAUUUCUGAUCGAAUCUCACUGGACAGCAGAUAUCUGCCUCAUUCCAGUGCAAACUGCAAAUACGGCAACAUCUGAGUGACUCCCCCACUGCAAAGAAUCCAAAUUCAAACAGAACAGAAAUACCUUGAAUAUGUGGGGUACCUUUCACCUUUAAACUAAAAACCUUCUGUCUGUCUGCAACAUCCUCUGAACACAGCCCUGCCUCUCCUGUUUCCCCACAUCUAGUAUACUUAUCAGAUGAAUUCAAUAAAUAUAACACUCAAUAAAAACCUGAUGGUGAAUCAAUCAUACUGCUUAAAAACCAAAAACAUCCGUGAGGAGUGCAUUUCUAUAUACAUUUACAUUUCAUUUGAUAAAUAGCAUCUUAGCUAGCCCGAGUUGAAGUCGUCAGCAGUCUUCUCUCAGUAGAUGCUGUCUCUAACACUGAGGUCAUCAUGAUGUCAUGACUCACUAGUCUUCAGCAGUGUUCUCUCAAUAGAUGCUGUCUCUAACACGGAGGUCAUCAUGAUGUCAUGACUCACUAGUCUUCAGCAGUGUUCUCUCAAUAGAUGCUGUCGCUAACACGGAGGUCAUCAUGAUGUCAUGACUCACUAGCUAAAAGCUAGUCCCAACAGUCUUAAAAUGUUUCCUUUCCUCAUCUCCUUUCCUUCUGAAUGACUGUUGGGACACAGCCUGACUAAUCUAACCCUAUCAACUUCCUCUGCACUGCUAUUCAUGGCAUUGGGUGAACGCUCCCAAACUAGUGUCUCUCUCUCAUGUCAGUUAUGUCAGGUCUGGUGUAACCUCAUCCCCAGGCUUGUAUCUCUCUCUCUCUCUCUCGCUCUUUCUCUCUCAAAGAGUCUAAUCUCAGUUAUGUCCAUCUCUCUCUCUCUCUCAACCACAGACAACAACUCCAUCAAAAAUUGUGAAAAUCGGCAAUCAAAAUAAAUGUUCUAUCACAAGGGUGUCAAACUCAUUCCAUGUUUGGCCCAGUGUCUGCUGGUUUUUGGGGUUUUCCUUUCAAUGAAGACCUGGACAACCAGGUGAGGGGAGUUCCUUAUUAGUGACCUCAAUCAAGUACAAAGAAGGAUGGACACUCGGCCCUCCCAGGAAUGACUUUGACAUGUGUCAUAUCAUAUUGACCAUAUUCUUUUUGGGAAGCCCAAUUGAUUCUAAGAUACGUACUUGCAGAUUUUCCCAACUCACUUCCUUGUUUAAAAUCACUUGUGCUGCUCGUGCUUAGAAGUCCACAAUGUAGGGGGAGGUUCUAAGGGUUAUUCUAGAUGGUGAUGGACAGAGAGAUCAGCCAAUUAAAACCACAAUGUAGGGGGAGGUUCUAAGGGUUAUUCUAGAUGGUGAUGGACAGAGAGAUCAGCCAAUUAAAACCACAAUGUAGGGGGAGGUCCUAAGGGUUAUUCUAGAUGGUGACGGACAGAGAGAUCAGCCAAUUAAAACCACAAUGUAGGGGGAGGUCCUAAGGGUUAUUCUAGAUGGUGAUGGACAGAGAGAUCAGCCAAUUAAAACCACAAUGUAGGGGGAGGUUCUAAGGGUUAUUCUAGAUGGUGAUGGACAGAGAGAUCAGCCAAUUAAAACCACAAUGUAGGGGGAGGUCCUAAGGGUUAUUCUAGAUGGUGACGGACAGAGAGAUCAGCCAAUUAAAACCACAAUGUAGGGGGAGGUUCUAAGGGUUAUUCUAGAUGGUGAUGGACAGAGAGAUCAGCCAAUUAAAACCACAAUGUAGGGGGAGGUUCUAAGGGUUAUUCUAGAUGGUGAUGGACAGAGAGAUCAGCCAAUUAAAACCACAAUGUAGGGGGAGGUCCUAAGGGUUAUUCUAGAUGGUGAUGGACAGAGAGAUCAGCCAAUUAAAACCACAAUGUAGGGGGAGGUUCUAAGGGUUAUUCUAGAUGGUGAUGGACAGAGAGAUCAGCCAAUUAAAACCACAAUGUAGGGGGAGGUUCUAAGGGUUAUUCUAGAUGGUGAUGGACUGAGAGAUCAGCCAAUUAAAACCAGCGGUGGUUUGGUCCGCUCCUGCCAUACUUCCAGUCAAGUCCCGUUCUGAGGCGCUGUGAAACCAGACGGUUCCACGGAGAGAGAGAGAGAGAGAGAGAGAGAGAGAGAGAGAGAGAGAGAGAGAGAGAGAGAGAGAGAGAGAGAGA